GCGAGAGACGUUGAGAGGAGAGAUGUGAGUCUCUUCGAUCUGAGAAAGGAGAGAAAAACUCUACAAAACACUGAGAAAAGUCACCAGAAGACCUCUACUUGACCAGAAGAACAACUUCAGACCAGGACCAGAACUUUAGAAAAAGGACUUAUAAGACGACGAGACCAGGAAAGUGAACCAUGGCCCUGCGCAUGGCUCACGGUAUGGGUGAUCCUGAGGGUUGGGUCACAGGCUGGGCCCAGCCCGACGGUUGGGUCGCAGGCUGGGUCCAGCCCGAGGGUUGGGUCGCAGGCUGGCAGCAUCCACUGAUGGAGGAGGAGGAGGAGAAAGAUGGAGGAGCAUCAGUCCACUACAUUGUCCCAUGAUCAGCCCCAGGAGGAGAUAUCAGCAGAGGAAGGAAAUACUUUAAUCCUAAACGAUAGGAACUCCAGCAUCCACUGAUGGAGGAAGAGAAGAAAGAUGGAGGACGGGAGCGCCAGCAUCUACCAAUGGAGGAGAAGAAAGACAUUUAUUUAAACAAUGUAAGCAAAACCUCUUAUUUACACAGAAAGACAUUGAACAAUUUUUUAGUGUAAAAAUGCUGUCAUUGGUAAAAAUGUUGUAAAAUGUAAAUUGUAAAAUGUUCACCACAGUGUCCCUAAUCAGCUCCAGGAGGAGACACCAGCAGAGGAAAGAAAGACUAAUGACCAAAACAAUAGGAACGCCAGCAUCCACUGAUGGAGGAAGAGAAGAAAGAUGGAGGACGGGAGCGCCAGCAUCUACCAAUGGAGGAGAAGAAAGACAUUUAUUAAAACAAUUGUCCCUAAUCAGCUCCAGGAGGAGACACCAGCAGAGGAAAGAAAGACUAAUGACCAAAACAAUAGGAAUGCCAGCAUCCACUGAUGGAGGAGGAGGAGAAAGAUGGAGGAGCAUCAGUCCACUACAGUGUCCCAUAAGCAGCCCCAGGAGGAGAUAUCAGCAGAGGAAAGAAAUACUUUAA
rnacentral:lncRNA from 1 species